rnacentral:rRNA from 1 species
AUUGAACGCUGGCGGCGUGGAUUAGGCAUGCAAGUCGUACGAGAAUCGUAGCAAUACGAGGAAAGUGGCGGAAGGGAGAGGAUUACGUGGGAAUCUACCCUCAGAACUGGGAUAGCGGCGGGAAACUGCCGGUAAUACCAGAUAAUGUCUGUGGACCAAAGGUGUGAUUCCGUCUGGGGAUGAGCCCACGUCCUAUUAGCUAGUUGGCAGGGUAAUGGCCUACCAAGGCAAUGAUGGGUAGCGGGUGUGAGAGCAUGAACCGCCUCACUGGGGCUGAGAACUGCCCAGACACCUACGGGUGGCUGCAGUCGAGAAUCUUCGGCAAUGAGCGCAAGCUUGACCGAGCGACGCCGCGUGCGGGAUGAAGGCCUUCGGGUUGUAAACCGCUGUCGUAGGGGAGCAAGAGAUGAGGGUACUCCCUCUGAUUUGAGCGAUCCUAGGAGGAAGGACGGGCUAAGUUCGUGCCAGCCGCCGCAGUAAAAC